UACGGAGGAUGCAAGCGUUAUCCGGAUUUAUUGGGUUUAAAGGGUGCGCAGGUUGUUUGAUAAGUCAGUGGUGAAAGUCUGUCGCUUAACGGUAGGAUUGCCAUUGAUACUGUUAGACUUGAAUAUGGAUGAGGUAGGCGGAAUGUGUAGUGUAGCGGUGAAAUGCAUAGAUAUUACACAGAACACCGAUUGCGAAGGCAGCUUACUAAUCCAUCAUUGACGCUGAGGUGCGAAAGCGUGGGGAGCAAACAGGA
rnacentral:rRNA from 1 species